rnacentral:rRNA from 1 species
AACGCUGGCGGCGUGCCUAACACAUGCAAGUCGCACGAGAAAGGGUAGCAAUACCUGAGUAAAGUGGCGCACGGGUGAGUAACACGUGAAUUAUCUACCUCCGAGUGGGGAAUAACUGAGAGAAAUCUUAGCUAAUACCGCAUAACACUUACGAGUCAAAGCAGCAAUGCGCUUGGAGAGGAGUUCGCGGCCGAAUAGUUAGUUGGCGGGGUAAUGGCCCACCAAGACGAUGAUCGGUAUCCGGCCUGAGAGGGCGCACGGACACACUGGAACUGAAACACGGUCCAGACUCCUACGGGAGGCAGCAGUGGGGAAUUUUGCGCAAUGGGGGAAACCCUGACGCAGCAACGCCGCGUGGAGGAUGAAAUAUCUUGGUAUGUAAACUCCUUUCGAUGGGGNAAGNAGUAUG